rnacentral:misc_RNA from 1 species
UCCGAGUUGACCCCGGCUUUCACCGGCUGUCCUGCACAUGUCAAGCCCUGGUAAGGUUCUUCGCGUAGCUUCGAAUUAAACCGCACGCUCCGCUGCUUGUGCGGGCCCCCGUCAAUUCCUUUGAGUUUUAGCCUUGCGGCCGUAGUCCCCAGGCGGAGCACUUAUCGCGUUAGCUGCGCUACCGGAGGGGUCGAUACCCCCGACAGCUAGUGCUCAUCGUUUACGGCCAGGACUA